GCGCCCAGGGGACUGGGUCGGACUCAGAAAUGGCGGCCUCCGUGUUCUACAGCCGGCUGUUGGCUGCCGCCACCCUUAGGAGUCACCGGCCCCGGACGGCGCUGCGGGACGCCACCCAGGUUCUGGGAAGUUCUGGAUUAUUUAACAACCAUGGACUCCAAAUACAGCAGCAACAGCAAAGGAAUCUCUCACUACAUGAAUACAUGAGUAUGGAAUUGUUGCAAGAAGCUGGCGUCUCCAUUCCCAAAGGACAUGUGGCUAAGUCACCAGAUGAGGCUUAUGCAAUUGCCAAAAAAUUAGGUUCAAAAGAUGUUGUGAUAAAGGCACAAGUUUUAGCUGGUGGUAGAGGAAAAGGAACAUUUGAAAGUGGCCUCAAAGGAGGAGUGAAAAUAGUCUUCUCUCCAGAAGAAGCAAAAGCUGUUUCCUCACAAAUGAUUGGGAAAAAGUUGUUUACCAAGCAAACGGGAGAAAAGGGCAGAAUAUGCAAUCAAGUAUUGGUUUGUGAGCGAAGAUAUCCCAGGAGAGAAUACUACUUUGCAAUAACAAUGGAAAGGUCAUUUCAAGGUCCUGUGUUGAUAGGAAGUUCUCACGGUGGUGUCAACAUUGAAGAUGUUGCUGCUGAGACUCCUGAGGCCAUAGUUAAAGAACCUAUUGAUAUCGUAGAAGGCAUCAAAAAGGAACAAGCUGUUCGGCUUGCACAGAAGAUGGGCUUUCCAGCCAAUAUUGUGGAUUCUGCAGCGGAAAACAUGAUCAAGCUUUACGACCUUUUUCUGAAAUAUGAUGCAACCAUGGUAGAAAUAAAUCCAAUGGUAGAGGAUUCAGAUGGAGCUGUGCUAUGUAUGGAUGCAAAGAUCAAUUUUGAUUCUAAUUCAGCUUAUCGCCAGAAGAAAAUCUUUGACUUGCAGGACUGGACCCAGGAAGAUGAAAGGGACAAAGAUGCAGCUAAGGCAGAUCUCAACUACAUUGGCCUAGAUGGAAAUAUAGGCUGUCUAGUAAAUGGUGCUGGUUUGGCAAUGGCCACAAUGGAUAUAAUAAAACUUCAUGGAGGGACUCCAGCCAACUUUCUUGAUGUUGGUGGUGGUGCCACGGUCCAUCAAGUAACAGAAGCAUUUAAACUUAUCACUUCAGAUAAAAAGGUACUGUCUAUUCUGGUCAACAUUUUUGGAGGAAUCAUGCGUUGUGAUGUUAUUGCACAGGGUAUAGUCAUGGCAGUAAAGGAUUUGGAAAUUAAAAUACCUAUUGUGGUACGGUUACAAGGUACACGAGUUGAUGAUGCUAAGGCACUGAUAGCAGACAGUGGACUUAAAAUUCUUGCUUGUGAUGACUUGGACGAAGCUGCUAAAAUGAUGAAUGAAUAAAGAAGAUGUAGUAUAUAUAUGCAAUUGAAUACUACUCAGCUGUAAAAAAGAAUGAAAGAAUGCCAUUUGCAGCAACCUGGAUUGACCUAGAGAUUACCACACUAAAUGAAGUUGUAAAGCUCUCUGAGAUAGUGACCUUGGCCAAGCAAGCCCAGGUGGAUGUGAAAUUUCAGUUGCCAAUCUGAUCUGAGAACCCUGUGGUUGGCCUAAGAUGUUAAAUGUGUUAUAAUUGUUAAAAAUACUGUGUUCUGUAUUAUUAUUGUUCCUUUUCUCUUUAGCGUGUGAAGAUUGUGAUUACCGUCUAGGCACAAAAACUUUUAGAAGCAUUUGGUCUGCAUUAAAUUCUGUUCAGAAUGGGCUGUUUGUGUAAAGAAAGUGUAAUGCAGUUAUCUAGUUUGUUUUGUUGCAGCUUUCUUUUUCACUUUUACAGAAUGUCACUUGCAAUAUGCCAGUUUAUUAUUGUUGGGUACAGCAUUCUUCAUUGAUAAGAGUCUUAUGAAUAAAACAAAUAUGAAGAUAAAGCUUUAUUCUUUAGUGUUAGAAAUGUAUUAUAUCUAAUAACUAGUUUCACUUGUAGAGCAGUGUAUUAAAACAAUGUUUUAUAUAAGAAGUGUUUAUCUUCAGCACUAAAUACCUAACUAAAUAUAUCAGUCACUAUUUAUAAACAGGUCUUUCAAACACUCCCUAGAAUAUUCUUUUAAGUAUUUCAGUGAAGUAACUUGUGAAUUAUCCGAACAUUGUUUUAAUCAUUACAAAACUGAUAAAUGCAAGUCCUCAUAAUCAUGUGGUAUUGAGAAGAAUGUAUCAAAUAAGGAUAUACUUACUAAGGACUCAGCAGACAAAAUUAACAAUGUCAAUUUAAAUUAAUAAAAAUUCUCCCAAUGUGA